UAGAUGCGAGAGUAGAGCAUAUCAAUAAGCGGAGGAAAAGAAACUAACAAGGAUUCCCUUAGUAACGGCGAGUGAAGCGGGAAGAGCUCAAAUUUGAAAUCUUCAAGGUUCUACCUUGACGAAUUGUAGUUUAUAGGAAGUGUUUUCUGUUAGUAGAGUGGCAAAAGUUCUUUGGAAUAGGACAUCAUAGAGGGUGAGAAUCCCGUAUUUGGUCAUCCCUUCUAGCUUUGUGAUACACUUUCAACGAGUCGGAUUGUUUGGGAAUGCAGUCCAAAAUGGGUGGUAAAUUUCAUCUAAAGCUAAAUAUUGGCGAGAGACCGAUAGCGAACAAGUACCGUGAGGGAAAGAUGAAAAGAACUUUGAAAAGAGAGUUAAACAGUACGUGAAAUUGUCAAAAGGGAAGCGUUUGACACCAGUGUUGUUUUUCCGAAAAUCAAUUACGAAUGUUUUAUUUUUGAGAAGUUAUGACUUCAUCGGCUUGCUUCUUUCUUUACUGAAACUUUCUUAAUGCACUUCUCGGUUAACAAGUCAACAUCAAUUUCUUUUGUUGUAAAAGGGUAUGAGGAAGGUGGCUUUCUUUUCGGAGAAAGUGUUUAUAGCCUUGUGCCUCUGCAAUCGGAGAGAUUGAGGUCUGCAGCGUAGAUCCUUCGGGGUUAGAUACAGUUUGUGCUAAGUUAUAGCUUUUCAUAGACAACUUGUUGACUAUGUUUAGUCUUGUAGCUUACUCGCUUAUGCUAUUUUACCUACGCUUAGGAUGUUGACGAGACUGUCGAUCUC
rnacentral:rRNA from 1 species